rnacentral:rRNA from 1 species
UACGUAGGGGGCUAGCGUUGUCCGGAAUCAUUGGGCGUAAAGAGCGUGUAGGCUGCUCGGUAAGUCCGCUGUAAAAGUCAAAGGCUCAACCUUUGAAUGUCAGUGGAUACUGCCGGGCUAGAGUCCGGAAGAGGCGAGUGGAACUCCUGGUGUAGCGGUGGAAUGCGCAGAUAUCAGGAGGAACACCGGUGGCGAAAGGCGGGAUCCUGGCCAGCUACGGUCGGACUGCU